AGUCCUAUAGGAUGUUCAAAAAGGGGCACCAUAUCAAAUUCAGGAGUGGACCUCCUAAUCCCUCCCUCUAAACUGGGAUUCCAGCUACAGGCUACUUUUUGUUUAGAAGAGAAGUCUCAUCGGAAGUGACAUUGAGGUGCCAUGAGCUGAGCUGCGUCUCCAUCGUCAUCCCAACAUUCAACAGGAGCUUUACGUUUUCAGACAAAGUUUGGAAGAGGAGAAGAUGACACCGCGGGCGUGUUCUGGUGUGCACGCCGGAGCUGAAGCACGCCCCACGGUCAGGGCCAAGUGGGAGUUGCAGCGGCGGAUAGCAUUGAAAAGAAAAAAACUGUAAUAUUGUAAACCACAAACGAGGUAACAAAUCCCUCUGUUCAAAAAUAUUUCAUUUAAUCAGUAUGCGCAAAAGGGUUUCUCAUUGAAAUGAAUGAGAAAAUGUGAAAACUUUUGACUGGUACUGUAUUUAAAAUGUAUUUUCCAGCUACGCCAAAUACACUAACUUAAGACAAACAAUCUGGGAGAAGAUGAUCUUUUAUGAAGGUCAUAAUAAUAAUGUGAGUUUUGCUAUGAAACUCUUUUAAUAUUGUUCAUUCCGCUGAAUGCUUAUUUUGAUGAUGCACUCUGUUGAGCAAUGCUGCAUAUAAUUACAGGUGAUCCCAUUAUUUUUCUCACCCCAUUUAUGUCAGCGAGGAUAUUUGAGUCUCGCGGGGCAAAUUUGAGAUCUGUUUUAUUACGUGAAUGAAAUUGAUUCAGAUACAACAGAGUGAUGUCUAACCGAGCAGAGAAUGGCGUCGCUCUCGGCACGGCCCCUGGCCGAAGCUCAGCGCCGUCCGAUGCGACCAAAAGGUUCACCACCGAAAGCCAAAAACGAAAAGGUACGAACGGUUUUCUCCGCCCGCGGGUUCAGCGACCCUACAGGGGCUGCAUUUGACUGUCCAAGUUCUCCCCUCUUGUGCUGUUAUUCACUUCCUCACAUUGCUUUUUUCCCUGAUUAAAGUUUUCAUUCCCAUACCUACA